rnacentral:lncRNA from 1 species
GUGAGGAAAUCAGUUCAGAAAAAUGAAGUCUCUUCCUCUGAGUUGUAGUAAGGGAAGGUAAAAGUUGCAAGAAUGAUUGACAGGCCUUAAGACUUAGAAUCUUUUAUGAGCUGAUUGUGUCGGAGUUCCAAGGAGCAGUUUCCAACUGACUCAGUCUGGAGCUGAAAGUGAAGAAGAAAGGUGUGUAGCUGAGACUUCUUGAAAAUCCAUCUAUCAAGCAACUGACCUUUCAGGAUCAACUGGCUGAGGGUGAGAGGGAAAUCUCCAGUCUUCUGGUGGACAGAGAGACUGGGAGAAGACCUCUACCUUGCUGGGACCAUCUGAGGACACCACAACUGGGAUUCCUGAUACCUGACCAACCACUGACUCUGUCUGCUCAACUGUUUCCCCUGAGGUUGAGGACAGUAUCAUACAGACUGCAUUCCAGCCUCUGAGGGCAAGUGGAUGUCCCUCAUUUUCAAGGAACAAGUCAGUUUGGGGUCAGGAAAGUCCCUGUCCUUUUACAACAAUGAAAAAAUAUUUCCGUUCCUGUCAACCUAGACCAGCUUCCCAUAUAUACUUGAAAACAAGACAGUUUAUUAAGUCCUUCCACUGGGAAUUUGGAUGUGUGUGA